UAAGGAAUAUUGGGCAAUGGACGCAAGUCUGACCCAGCCAUGCCGCGUGCAGGAUGACGGCCCUAUGGGUUGUAAACUGCUUUUGUACGGGAAGAACCCCUUCGAUUCUUCGGAGGCUGACGGUACUGUACGAAUAAGCAUCGGCUAACUCCGUGCCAGCAGCCGCGGUAAUACGGAGGAUGCAAGCGUUAUCCGGAUUUAUUGUGUUUAAAGGGUGCGCAGGCGGAAGGGUAAGUCAGUGGUGAAAUCUACCGGCUCAACCGGGAGAAGACCGUUGAUACUGCCGGACUAGAGUGCAGUUGGGGUGGGAGGAAUGUGUAAUGUAGCGGUGGAAUGCUUAGAUAUGACACAGAACACCGAUCGCGAAGGCAGCUGACCAAGUUGUAACUGACG
rnacentral:rRNA from 1 species